rnacentral:rRNA from 1 species
UACGUAGGGUGCAAGCGUUGUCCGGAAUUAUUGGGCGUAAAGAGCUCGUAGGCGGUUUUGUUGCGUCGGCUGUGAAAUCCCCGAGGCUCAACCUCGGGUCUGCAGUCGAUACGAGCAAACUAGAGUGUUGCAGGGGAGACUGGGAAUUCCUGGUGUAGCGGUGAAAUGCGCAGAUAUCAGGAGGAACACCGAUGGCGAAGGCAGGUCUCUGGGCAUUAACUGACGUGAGGAGCGAAAAGCAUGGGGGAGCGAACAGG